GAUGAAGAACGUAGCGAAAUGGGAUACGUAGUGUGAAUUGCAGAAUUCAGUGAAUCAUCGAAUCUUUGAACGCACAUUGCACCUCUCGGUAUUCCGGGAGGUAUGCCUGUUCGAGCGUCAUUUGUACCCUCAAGCUCUGCUUGGUGUUGGGUGUUUGUUCCGCCUCUGUGUGUGAACUCGCCUCAAAACAAUUGGCAGCCGGCGUACUUGUUUCGGAGCGCAGCACAUUUUGCGAUCCAGAUCAACGUACAGCGGCAUCCAAGAAGCCUUAUUUAACGCUCUUGACCUCGGAUCAGGUAGGGAUACCCGCUGAACUUAAGCAUAUCAAUAAGCGGAGGA
rnacentral:misc_RNA from 1 species